GAUGAACGCUGGCGGCGUGCUUAACACAUGCAAGUCGAACGGAAAGGCCCUGCUUUUGUGGGGUGCUCGAGUGGCGAACGGGUGAGUAACACGUGAGUAACCUGCCCCUGACUUUGGGAUAACUUCAGGAAACUGGGGCUAAUACCGGAUAGGAGCUCCUGCUGCAUGGUGUGGGUUGGAAAGUUUCGGUGGUUGGGGAUGGACUCGCGGCUUAUCAGCUUGUUGGUGGGGUAGUGGCUUACCAAGGCUUUGACGGGUAGCCGGCCUGAGAGGGUGACCGGCCACAUUGGGACUGAGAUACGGCCCAGACUCCUACGGGAGGCAGCAGUGGGGAAUAUUGCACAAUGGGCGGAAGCCUGAUGCAGCAACGCCGCGUGCGGGAUGACGGCCUUCGGGUUGUAAACCGCUUUCGCCAGGGAAGAAGCGUGAGUGACGGUAAUGGGUAAAGAAGCACCGGCUAACUACGUG
rnacentral:rRNA from 1 species